rnacentral:misc_RNA from 1 species
GAUGAAGAACGCAGUGAAAUGCGAUAAGUAAUGUGAAUUGCAGAAUUCCGUGAAUCAUCGAAUCUUUGAACGCACAUUGCGCCCUCUGGUAUUCCGGGGGGCAUGCCUGUUCGAGCGUCAUUACAACCCUCAAGCUUUGCUUGGUAUUGGACAUUGCCAGUUUCUGGCAGGUCUUAAAAUCAGUGGCGGUGCCAUUUGGCUUCAAGCGUAGUAAUUCUUCUCGCUUUGGAGAUCCAGGUGGUUACUUGCCAAUAACCCCCAAUUUUUUCAGGUUGACCUCGGAUCAGGUAGGGAUACCCGCUGAACUUAAGCAUAUCAAUAAGCGGAGGA